CCAUAAGCUCUGCGCCUGCUGUUGUCAUUUCUCUCUGUCUUCCCAUCUAUUUUCUUUGAAUCUAUUUUGGUCAAGCCCUUUUCUAAUUUGCAUUUUCAAAGUCAUGCUUAUUAAGCUAGUUAGAAAUGUGUCCUCUGUGACAACAGAGGGACUCUCCAAGGAGUUAAAUUCUAAUACUUCAAUACUUAAGUGGAACUCAAUAUCUUGUUUUACUUCUGAGAAGUCGAUCUGCUUCCUUCCAAGUGUUACUGUGCUGGCAAUUGAAAUGACAAGAUAUCAAGGUAUAUUCCAGACAACAAGGAGGGCAAAGACCAAAAAGGAAGAAACUAGUCCACUAGGACACCUUCAAGAAAGUGUUUCCAGAAGCCACAUCCAGCAGCUCCUGUUUGAAGCUCAUUGCUACAUUUGAGUCACAUGGCCCCUGCUAGCUGCAGUCAGAGCAAAUGAAGAGCCACUGAACCAUCAGCAUCGGGUAUCAGAUGAAGAGCCAUUUGAAGCCAGGAGGGACCAGGUCACACAUACGUUUUGGGUAGCUCGGAUUGCAAGGGAUGCUGGGGGCUGCAUCACAGAUCCUACUCACCUCUGAUCCCAGUGUGCCUCACUGGAACAUAAUUUACACUGCUGUGUUCAAGGACUUUCUCCUGGUAUCCUUCAGGGUCAUAACACUUCAGGUAUGUGUGUGUUGCCAUUUCCAGGUGAGCUCCCCCAUUUGAGGGUUAGUCAAUAGCAUGAACAGUCAAUAAGUUUCAAGAGGUGUUGAGGAGGGGUGUGGGUGUCCUCACAGCCCUCCUGGGCCUGGAGCUUGGCGUGGCCUGCCCAUCCUUGUAAGAAAGCGGGCAUUAAUCAGGCUGCUAGCAGUCACUUCCCCGUGCCCAGAGGUCUACCCAAGGACCCUCUAUGUGCCAGCUCUAAGAUCUCACUUUCCACCUCUUGACUACCAGUUCCUCGAGUGUAGGAGGAGUUUUGUGGUACUCCCCUGGGCUGGAGGUGCUCCCUGGGGCCCUUGUGGUGUUGGAGGGAGCUGCCAAUUACCUGGGCCACACACUUGUGCUACUGAAUUCAGGUCCCAUUCACUCAGCCUUCUUGCAUUGCAUGCCCGCUACGGGAUAGCUAUCGUAACGAGGAGGGGAGGAGAUCGUCAAAAUAUUUAGUAACUAGUAAAACAUGUGCACUAACCAGCUCGAACCAAUGUCUCACCAGUUGGUACAGGCACCGGUCAUGAAUUACUAGAACCAACUCAAUACCAGUCUUGGAAUCGGGCACUACCUCACAGAGUUGGAGAACUCUCAUCAUUGCUGUAACAUCACCCCCACCUGACUCCUGGCCUUCAGCGUGGUGGCAUGUGGAGGCAGAGGUCUUGGUGACAACAGAUUCCUGCUAGAGCAGAUUAGAGAGAGGCAGCUCCAGGGCUAAAUCUGCAUCUUCACCUCACUCGUGAAAGGUAAGAAUAACUGUGCUAUUCUGGGUACAACCUCCAUGAUUCUGAGGGUGAAGUUUGAAAGCUAAAGAUUAUCCUUCUGGUAGUUUUUUUAAAAGACUAAAAAAAAAAAAAAAGAUUGAUUGAUUGAUUUGAAAGAGAGAGAGAGCAUGAGCAAGAGGGGCAGAGGGAGAAGGGGAGAGAGAAUCUAGAGCAGACUCCCUGUUGAGCGUAGAGCCUGAUGUGGGACUCCAUCCCAGGAUCCUGAGACGGUGACCUGAGCCUAAAUCAAGAGUCAGACGCUCAGUCAACUGCACCACCCAGGCACCUUCUUCUGGUCAUUUUUAAACUGGUUUUGUUUUUUUAGCAGAGCCAUUUUUGCAAAACUGUCCUUGUUUGGAAAUCCAAUCCAGGGGGUGGAAGCUGGGGUGGGCCCCACAGUCUCACCAUCCCCAGAAGCCCUGGACCCUGAGCAACCUAGCUAGGAAACCACCAAGUGCACUCCCCAUUCACAAAAGGGGGAAAGUGAGACUCAGAAAGAAGUGACCCAGCCACGGUGCUAACUGGUUCAAGUCAGACAAAUGGAAUCUAGGCUUCUGACCACUAGCCCUGGCAGGGCUAGCAAGGCGCUUGCAGGGGCAGCUGCAGGUUCUGUGUAUGGGGUCCAGAAGCCACAAGUGAAUAAAUCACAGCUAACAUUUGUUAGCUCCUCA
rnacentral:lncRNA from 12 species